UCUUCUUCCACUUUAAAAGUUACGACCUUGAGUAUCAUGACAUGUUCUUCCACUAACGAACAUGAGGUCUUAGUUGCAUGGAUAACCUCUAGGUAGUUUAUAAAUAUCUUCUCUAAUGUGUAACGUGUUUCUUGAUAGUUUCUUUCUCAAAAAAUAAUAUUCAGAAAAUAGUUUUAAUAACUACAAUGGAAUCAAGAGGAAAACGUAUGGUUAGAGAAGCUCUUAAAAGAUUGAAAAGUGAUUCUUGUGACAACAGGAACUCAAGCGAUCGAAAUAUUUCAAAUGGUGUCAGCCGGAUGUACAAAAUACGAUAAGGAUGUUACGAAAAUAAUGGAAAAACUAAUGAAAAGAGAAGUUCAACUGGAAUACAGUGGAUCUGGAAAGAAAAUUAAAGGUGUAGGGAAAAUAAGUUUUAAGGAAACUGAAACUUACAAAAUAAUGGAAAAAUUUUUGCUGGCAAAGUACAGGG